rnacentral:rRNA from 1 species
UACGUAGGGUGCGAGCGUUAAUCGGAAUUACUGGGCGUAAAGCGUGCGCAGGCGGUUUUGUAAGCCAGGUGUGAAAUCCCCGGGCUCAACCUGGGAAUGGCAUUUGGGACUGCAAGGCUGGAGUGCGGCAGAGGAGACUGGAAUUCCUGGUGUAGCAGUGAAAUGCGCAGAUAUCAGGAGGAACACCGAUGGCGAAGGCAGGUCUCUGGGCCACUACUGACGCUGAGAAGCGAAAGCAUGGGGAGCGAGCAGG